UACGUAGGGGGCAAGCGUUGUUCGGAUUCAUUGGGCGUAAAGGGCAUGUAGGCGGUUAUAUAAGUGUGGAUUUAAAGGCCUAGGCUUAACUUAGGUAUGGUCUGCAAACUGUAUGACUAGAGUGCAGAAGGGGAAACUGGAAUUCCGCGUGUAGGGGUGAAAUCUGUAGAGAUGCGGAAGAAUACCGGUGGCGAAGGCGAGUUUCUGGUCUGUAACUGACGCUAAUAUGCGAAAGUGUGGGGAGCGAACAGGAUUAGAUACCCUUGUA
rnacentral:rRNA from 1 species